UCGGUAUUAAUUUAACCGUUCUGGAAAUCGGUAAAAUUAAACCGUUCUGGAAAUCGGUAUAAAUUAAACCGUUCUGAGAAAGUGAAACCAGCUCCACUAUUUUAAUAAGACGCUGAGCUUUAAAACGCAAGUUUCUGCCAAGUUGGAGUUUAGUCAGUGACAGCACCACAUUCGGUAAAGACCCAGUUUCCCACUGGGGAGCCUGGCCAGCACUAGAAACUGAUCUUUAUUCCUCUGGCAAAUCAUCCAGCAGCAGCAGGUCGGUGAGUGGUUUUGUGUGCUGUGCUGUGCGAGCCUCUGCAGGGAGCUCUGAGUGGAGCAAGCCAGGAAUGCCGUGACCUAUGAUGAUGUGCACGUGAACUUCAAUGGGCAAGACUGGGCUUCCUGGAUCCUUCCCAGAAAAGUGUGUUCAAAAAUGUGAUGCUGGAGACCUACAGAAACCUCACUGUUGAGGGCUACAAAGGGGAAGACUGCAUUUUGAAGAACACUGUCAAAGUUCUAGAAGAUGAGGAUGAAUGCAGGAACGAAGUCAUACUGGAGGGAAACCCUAUGUUAGAAGUGUAUGGUGAGCGCUUACCUAGGAAGCGCAAGGCCCUGGGUUCGGUCCCUAGCUCCGGAAAAAAAGAACCAAAAAAAAAAAAAAAAAAAAAAAAAAAAGAAGUGUAUGCUUGAAACUGUGCUGCCAUCGGGAACAGCUCCUUCGCGUUCGUGCUGAUGAUGUCUGUGAUGGCUGUUAAUGGCUGUGGUCGGUGCUUCAGCUUGAGGCCAUGUUAAUGCCUGCAGGCCACCUUGCCAUACUACUGUUGGGACCACAUUAAGGUGAGCAACAGGGGCCAUGUCCCUAGGCUGUGCUUUCCCCAAAAACCAAGUGAAAGCCUAUCAUCCUUCUUCCCUCUGACAGAAAAGAGUAAAGGCGCUACUUUGGCAAUGAUGUCGAUGACUUCAGAUGCACAGUUACAUAGAUGUUUUCUGCUACGACCCCUACCCCCAGCCUAGCCCUCUAGUCAAAGAAUGUAACAGCCUAAACAGGAAGAUAUCCAAGAGAACUCUUAAAAACGUGUGAUACAGAUGCUAUAGUGUAGCUCUCCACAUUCAUGGCUUGCAAAGUGGGUGCAGUUCUAUUUAAGGGGCAGUUCAAUGAGAGUCUGACCGAACUCCAGGGAAUAUAUAGAUAACACAAGUUGAACUUUAUUUGGCUGUUUCUUUUUUUUUCUUUUCUUUCAGAUUUUUUUUUUUUGAGUUUUUUUUUUCCCCCCGGAGCUGGGGACAGAACCCAGGGCCUUGCGCUUCCUAGGCAAGCGCUCUACCACUGAGCUAAAUCCCCAACCCCUUUUUUUGAGUUUUUGAUUUGUUUGUUUAGUUGUGGUGGUCACAAGGGCAGGGGAGAAGGGGAGACAUGGAGGGACUGAGAAGUGAGCGUGAUUGGGGUGUGUAUUGAAACUCCUAAAGAAUCAUAAAAAUAGUUAUGUUGAAAAGACAUUAAAACAAAUGGAAAUCUGCUCUGAGUUAUGGGAGCUCUUGCUUUGAAAAGUAUAGGCAUAAAUGGAAACCACUUAGUGAUAUGUGAGUGACAGUGUUAAAUACCACAAACAGAAACCAGCUAGAGACUUACGCAAGUUACAGCACUAAAAACUGUAGUCGUGCAUAGAAAAUGGCCACCUCCUUCAGCUGCCGAGGUAGAGGGUUAAAACCCAUGAGAAGGUGUAGAGACAGGCUUCACUGUCAGAGUAACACUUUAAAAAGAAAUGCACAAAACCAAACCAAACAACAAUAACAAAGAACACAUGGAAAAGAAACCACCUACAGUAGUAUGGGAGUAACAGGGUCAAAACCCAAACAACUCCAAUAAAAACUGGCUGCAAUGUGGUUCGAGUUGUGUCAUUAAAACCCCAAGAAGCAUUUUGAGGCUCACUCUGGGUUACUCGAGCAUUUCACACUAAAAGCUCUAAGUGCAGCAGAAGACACCUACAGUGCCUUGCAACAUACAGUGUUUGGAUUGAAAGUUUCAUGGAAGGGUUGGUGACCCUAAUGCUCCACUGGGGUUCCUGCCUGACUACAGGAGGUGGCCUCUUCAGGUUCCAUAUCCCCAGUGUGCAGCCUGGUCUUUAUGUGGGUCCCAAACAACUGGAGCAGAGGCUGUCCCAAAAGCUGUUGCCUACACGUGGGAUAUGUUCUUGUAGCUGGGCUGCUUUGUCUGGCCUCAGUGGAAGAGGAAACACCUAACCAUGCAGAGUUUUGAAGUGCCAGGGUUGGGGAAUACCCAUGGAGGCCCCUACCUGCUCAAGUGAGAAGGGGAGCUGAAAGGGGGUAGGAUUGUUGAAGGGGGUAGUCGGGAGGGGUCAAUGAGCAGGAUAUAAAGUGAAUACAUAAUAAAUGAAUAAAUUUUAAAAUCUAUAAACAAGAAACUAACCAGCUAGAGAGUAAGUCAUAUGUAAGCUAGUAUGUAAGUACUAAAAACAGGUUAACCACAUUCAAACCGGCUAUAAUAUUACACAAGUUACUGCAUGCAAGGCGUCAAAUGUGCGUAGAACGUGGCUACUGUGUUUUUUGAGUUAAAACAUUAAACAACUUCAAACCCGUGUAGAAACCAGGUUCUGCAGUGAAAACUGAAGGUGGGAAGGCCAUCCUGAUGAGAGAGAGAGCUGAAAAAACUAGCUUGUGGAAGGGGCAAAGACAAGUCAGCUCCCACUGAAAGAAAAACCCGUCCUCCAUUUGAGACGGACCAAUGUGCUUUUUGCGAGGAUAAAGGCCAUUGGAAGCAUGAGUGUCCUAAGAGAAUCAAAGAGAGAGCCAAAGUUUCUGAAAUUAGAGAUACAUGGCUGAGGGUGUCAGGCUCAGCCCACCUGGGUAACCCUAAAGGUGGAGGGGAAGCUCAUAGACUUUCUGGAGGACACUGGGUACAACAUUGUCAAAUCCAAAAACAUGGGUGUAAGAGGCAAAUAGCACCAAGCCCUAUCCAUGGACUACAUGAAGAAAGGUGGGCAUGGGAGUGGGAUGGGUAACCCCUCCAUUUAUGGUCAUCCCUGGGUGCCUACACCCCCUACUGGGAAGAGACUACUUCACCAAAAAGGGAGCCCAAAUCUAUUUUGGCACCAAGGAAGUAGAAGUGCUACAUAAUACUGUCCCUUCCAUGUUUUGACCUUGGCCCUAGAAGAAGAAUACAAAUUGCUUCCUCAACCAGUCCCAUCUCCAAGUCUGUUACUCCAGGGGUUUCUGGCAGAAGUGCCCAAAGUCUGGACAGAAAAGUAUCCAAUGGGACUCACCUUUCACCAAGCCUUGUUUCUAGUCCAAAUCAAGGCUGGGGUCACAUCAGUCAGAAUCAGGCUAUAUCCAAUGCCGAGAGAAGCCAGUACAGGGAUCAGCCUCAUGUGAACUGGCUCUGGGAAGCACAGAUUGUGAUUCCUUGCAAAUGAGCAUGGUACACCUCCCAACACACACACACACACACACACACACACACACACACACACACACACACCUUUCUGGUCAAGAAGGCCUAUUCCAAUGACUGUUGGCAUGUGCAGGAUUUAAGGGAGGUAAAUACUGAGUGGCAGACAUCUAUCCCACAGUUCCAAAUGCAUACAUCCUGCUGAGCAGCCUCCCCCUCAAGCACACUGUGUACCCUGUGCUCUACCUGAAAGAUCCCUUCUUCCACCUGCCUCUGGCACCCAAAAGACAGCCUCAAAUUGCCUUCGAAUGGCAACAUUUGGGGAGAAGCUUCAACAGACAACGGACUUGUAUAUGUCUGCCGCAAGAAUUCAAGAACUCACCCGCCAUCUUAGACGAGGCACUGCAUUAUCGUCUUGGGUGAGUACUGAUGAGCCCACCCCCAAGUAACAGUGUUCCAGUAUGUAAAUGAGUGACUAUGACUAUGGAUGCAGAUACACAAGAGAUGGAAAAGUCCAUCAUGGCCUUACAGGAUUCGCUAUCCUCCCUGGCAGAAGUAGUCUUACAGGACAGAAGAGGCCUAGACUUGCUGUUCCUUCAGCAGGAAAGACUCUGUGCAGCUGAAAGACCCCUGGAGUGGGGAGACCCUCACUCAAGUCUCAGGAUGAUGUGACCCCUGCCCCCACCAGCGGGGACCCAGUUAUUUGUGGGGGUCGAGGGGGACCCAUACCUGCGGGAGAACGGGUGAGAAAGAGGAGCGAGACCAAGCAGUGUCCUUGUCAAGGUCUGUUUAUUGAGAGGAAUGUACAGCAUUUAAAGCUCUGAAGCAGGAAUUGAAGCUUAGGGCAGGGGGAGUACUGGGAAGUGCCCAAGGACAUAAAGUGAAUCAUUAAACUGCAAGAUGUUCUUAGACACUGAGGCAACAGUCUUCUGGGGACAUGUUCUUUCUUUGAAAAGGUCAAACCCUUCUCAGGAAUCUGCUCAGGGCAGGGCUUUAGCUUUGCUUAGUUUGGACAUCCGGUCCCCGACAUCUCCACCUUUCCUUAACUAUCAGUGGGAGGAAGGUCUGUCUAUAUGGUGUGCAUCCACAACCAGCACCUGGUCGGUGAAGCCCCGUGUCUUAGUCUACACAGGUUGCCCCCAGGUCUGGCACUCUCACUUAGGUUUCAUUACUUCCGCCAGGGUGGAAGUAGUGGUCUGAGAUUGGUCAGACAUGCUUCACAGAGUGCCCAGCUCGGCCAUGGUGAGCCACUCUUCCAGUUAGGACUGCACCCCAAUGGCUAAGGACGAUCUUAUGUUUUAACACACCGUUCUGGGCUAUACGUGUAUGUUUGUAAGAGUGGGCAACCCAGAUCAUGGACCCGUGCUAAUCCUGUCAUAGGGUCACUUCACAGUGGUGAGGUGUGCGCCUGGUAUGUGGCACCAUAAUAUUCCUGUCAUUGACGCUUCCACCAGCGACUGAUUUUCCAACCUGAGUUAUAGGCUGUAUUUAGGGUGGAGAAGUCGAGGCCAGCUGUGGGCCACCCAAGGGGAGUAUCUCACUCCCCGGUUGUCUCAGCCUCCUCACAAUGGAGGCGGUGGUAAUGGACUGAGACCUGCUUGGUAGCUAAAUCCACCUGGGCCUUGAUAAAAUCAGUUAACUUUCUAAGCACUCAUGGACCAAAGGAGACAAGUAGCAGGAGUCCUAUAAAGGGACCCAGGAUACUGGGUAGAAGAGUGGUGAGCAGGGGAGAGGCAGAAAACCAGUUUUUAUACCAGGCUUCACUCUUUUCUCUUUCUCUUUGUCUCUUUUGUAGACUUUCUCUUACUUUUUUAGGCUGUUUUCUACUAAUCCUGUCUUAUCAGCAUAAAAGCAACAGUCCUCCUUGAGGGCUGCACAGAGCCCUCCCUGUUGGAGAAAGAGAAGAUCUAAUCCCCUUCUAUUUUGUAGAACAACCUCAGCCAAGGAAGUGACUGAAUCUUUAAGAUAGGUUAUUCCUUGUUGAAGCUCACUGAUGUCCCUGCUAUGGCGGCACUGAGCUGAUGAUAACUCUGUUGGGAGGUGAUCAGGGAGGCAACCCCAGUUCCUGUCCCCACAGCUGACAGGCCUAGGAGUACUGCAAGAGUCACGGCAGUGUUGGGUUCUCUCUUUGUACUCGUGGAGGUGCCUCUUUCCCAGAACUGCAGGAACUCAAGAUUGGGCCAGGGAACUUGUACAGCGGUGGUAGAGUUGGCAGACAUCACAUCUCCAGCACCAUUAAGAAUCACCCAGGUAUAGUUGAAGAUCUGGUAAGGCAGUGUAGCAAGAGCAGACGUGAUGAUGCUUCCAGGGAUCCAGAUGAAGGGGAACAUGGUCAGCAUGAUCUGUAAUUAAGCAUAGUUAGACUUUUCCUCAGGGUUGUCCCCUGGGUGGGUUAAAGGCCUUAACAAGGCGCUCGGGUAGCCAACGGGCGCCCCCAGUCUUUGAAUCAUAAAUGCAGGCUGAUCCAUGUCCCCAAAUGAGGACCGGAUCAGGGCCAUAUCAUUGGGAUGUUAAUGGGUCCUUCCAUAGGACUGGUGCAUAAUCAUAAGAAUUAUGGGGGUGCCACAGGCAGUCUGCUGCAGUUUUUCCAUCCUUGUCCAUGACAAGGUAGUUAAGGACAAAGAGUGCAUGAUUUAUUAAAUUUUUGUGAUUACCAGGAAGGGGGAAAAUAUUCUCCCAUUUGACUGUAAUUUAUGGAUCAUAUUUUUAAGGGUUUGGUGAGCUCUUUCAACUAUACCCUGUCCCUGAGGGUUAUAAGGUAUGCCUGUAAUAUGUUUUAUUUGAAAUUGGGAGCAAAAUUGUUUAAAUUUGUGACUAACAUAGCCGGGCCCAUUAUCUGUUUUUAGCAUUUUGGGCUGUCCCAUAACCGAAAAUGUGUAGAGCAUACGAGCAAUAACAUCUUUUGUGUGUUAUAACAUCGCCUGUGUGUGCAGAGGCACAAAUAAAUCCACUAAAGGUAUCAAUGGUAUCAUGUACAAAUUUUAAUUUAGCAAAGGAGGGAAGAUGGGUGACAUCUAUUUGCCAGAGCUCUCCAGGAACCAGCUCACAGGGGUUGACCCCUAGGUGGGGGUCAGGCAGUGGGAUCACACAGCCUUUGCAAUUACAGACUAUUUGGCCAGCCUGUUCACGGGUGAUCUUAUAUUUAAUCCUAAGGGUUUGUGCAUUAAGGUGUUAUAAGUCAUGUGCUUUUUGGGCAAGUUUAAGGGGCAUAGAGAAGGCCUCUUGGGCCAAGGCCACGAGCCGGGUGAGGCGAUCAAUGGCAUCAUUACCAUCGGCCAAGAGGCCUGGCAAUCCAGUAUGUGCUCAGAUGUAUCCCACAAAGAUGGGGCAAGAAUGCCUCUGAAUAUACUUUUGUAAGGUAGCAAACAGGGGGGCAGCAUUGGUGGUAGGCCGAAUAUAGGGCACUGUUUCUAACAGGGGGAUAGAAAAGGCAAGAUAUGAGCUAUCUGUAUAUAGGUUAAAAGGUGCAUCAGGCAGCACACGAAAUACUGCAAAGAUGGCUUGAAGCUCUACCAGCUGAGCAGAAUCUAAAGGAAUAAAGGACUGUUAUAUUUGACCAUCAAUGGAAAAUGCGGCUUGUCCAUUAGAGGAGCCGUCUGCAAAGACAAGGUGGACUCCAGACAUAGGGUGAUCAUGUGUGACCUUUGGAAAGACCACUGGGACUGUAAUUUUGUGAAAAAACUGUAUCAACUUAUCUAAGGGGUAAUGAUUAUCUAUCUUACCCUGAAAGGCAAUGCAGCUAAUUGUCCAUUCCUCUACAAGUUGACUGAGCCAAGAGACCUGGGAGGGGCUAUAGGGUAAGAUUAAAGCAUCAGGGUCCCUUCCAAAGAGCUUAUGGGACUGUUCUCUUCCAAGACAUAUGCCAUCAGCAAGGGAUGGGCGGGAAGGACCCUAGCUGAGGAGGUGGGUAAAUGUAACCAGUAAAGAGGAUAUUGCUGCCAAAAAACUGCUGUUGGGAAAAAUGGGGUAGGAAGGACAUCAUUGGAAAAUGUCAAGAAUACCAGUGAAAAAUCACAAGGAGGAGCUUCCUGUUUCUCAAAAUUGUUUACCUUUAUGGUCUGCUAGUUCCUGGGAGAAGUUUCCUGCUUCUCAAGAUUGUUCUCUAAGGUUUUAAUCUAACUUUAUGGUUUUUUUUUUUUUCUCUAAACUUUGUGUCUAGGGCAAGUUUAAUACUUUUACCUUCCAUUCCCCACUUCUUCUAGUGGCUAGUUUUAAUCAUAAAACUAAAUUAAAACUAGCUUAUUUAACACACAUGGACUUAUAAUCACAAACAGAAGCAAAAUUAAGAAGGGUCCCAUAAGGGAAGAUAUCAGAGUAGUCAUCCAAGGAGAUCUACUAAACUAGCUCUCGAACCAUCCCUGAUGGUCUCUGUCUCUCUGUCUUUUAUCUAACCUUUUUCUAAGUUUACUCAUGGAGUCUUUAAUUACUCCUGAAUGGUCUACAUAGAAGCAGCAUUCUUCUUUUAGUGUAGCACACAGACCUCCUUCUUUAAAGAAUAUCAGGUCUAAUUAAUCUUCUUUCAUUCUGAAGGAUUAUCUCUGAGAGGGGGGUUAGGAAUUCUUAGAGGUCAGCUAAAAAGUCUUUUUUACUCUUUCUAUAUCUGAGUCAAUGGCAAUUCUGAAUUCUCCAUAAGCCUUGUGUUGCAGGGCAACAGCAGAUGUCUUUGUAGCUGCCCUUGCAGCACCUAGACUCUGCCUUAAGAUAGCCCUAAGUAAUUCUCAACUCUCUUUUGUGUCUUACUAAGUCUUUAGCAUCAGGAUUCCAAUCUGGACACUAUCUGAACCUACACACAAAGGUCAUGACUGCCUUUUAGAACUUUAAACUUAUACAGGUAUGAUCCCUGAGGCACAGUCCAAAGAAGUGUUAGGAGUACUAACAUAUGCACUGUUACAUCAUUUGCAGUGGAAAUCAAGCCUAUCCCCACACUUAUCCCAAUGGAAGCAAGAGCAAACCUGAAAUUCUUGUUUCUAAAGCACAUUCCUCAAGUAAGCAUUAUAGAUUUUCUGUAACAGUCACUAACAAGCAUCCCAAGUGGGAUGGUGAGAAAACAAGAAGAGAGUCCAGAAAAUAGAGGUCCUCCAAAGAGAGCAAAUAGCAUUCAGUCACACAGGAAGACAAUCAAAAGAUUAACAGACAAAAAGACAAAAGUGCGCACAAAAACAAAGAACAAGCGGCCACCGCAAGAUUGCCACAAAAACUGAACUGAUUCAGAUGGGAGCUUCCAUGAGCUCACCAAAGAGAGAUGAAGGGGAGCAGAUUACACAUCACUCCUCCUUCCCAACCAGAAUCUUCCCAUUGUCAAAGUCACAAGUAACACAAAACAAAGACCUAAGACACACAGACAAAGACCACUCUGGAAAUACAGACAGCCGGAAAGGCGGGUCUUUUCUCCAAUCCAUGAGAAUCACUGGCACCCAGACGGGAAUCUCCCAGGCAUCCCUGGGGUCCCUUCUCACCUCCUGGGAUGUCUCCCAGGGCAGGGCAAUCGGUGAGCCCCUGGCACAUCUACCGCUCACAUUUGUGUCUCUCCUGAGACAUGAUCCUCCCUCUCAGCCCGAGACCUAGAGCUUCUUAGGGGGUGAGAGAGCAUUUCUAAACUUCUGACUUCUUGGCUGCAUUUUUUAAUUCUUUCACACCCUUAGAUGAGGAACCUUGUUUCUGUGUUGAUCACUCAGGGGUGGUCAAAAAAAAAUCCAUGGCCUGAGUUAGGAAGAUACUGCAAGACAGAAGACUAGAAAGAGAACAGUCUCAGGGUUGGUAUGAGUCUCACAUCAACUGGUUUCCUUUGCUGACCACUCUUCUCUCUGCCAUGAUCCUAUCCUACUGUUGCUGGUCUUGACUUGCAGUCCCUGCAUAAUCAAUGCUCUAGUUGGGUUUGCUAAGGAACAGAUUUCCACCAUUCAAUAGAUGAUUCUCAAAUAAUAGCAUCAACCCAUAGAAACAUCUCAGGGAUUGGAGAUGGUCCAUUAUUCAAGGAGGGAAUAAGAGGACUGAGUCAGGCUGACUCCAUGACAGGCUUUGAAAAAAUAAAGAUUUUAAACUAGUCCCUAGUGACCCUGCUGUGAGGUCACAAGGACAAGUGCACCUUGCAACAAAGAAAAACAUAAAAUGUUUUUGGGAGGUAGCCUGGCCAUAGCCAUCACAAACCAUCUGGCCUUGAUAAGGCCUGACUCAACAGUCCUGAGAAAAACAAGAACUAGGGUCAGCUUGCCCCAGAAGCAGGGUGGCCUAGAGUUGAACUGAGCCCAAGUUAAAUCAUGUGUGCCGAUGUAAACAAACCAAUGAAAUUGCUUUGUGUGACAGUUGCCAACUGCCUAUGUAAUUUUCACUAUAAAUCCCUUCCCCUAAUUGGGCUCAGGGUCGACUCCUCUGUCUCCUGUGUGAGAUACGUGUCGUCCCCAGAGCUCUGGUUCCUCAAAUACACCUCUUGUUCAUUACAUCAAGACCGGUUCC